rnacentral:tRNA from 3 species
GGGGGGAUACUCAAGCGGCCAACGAGAUCAGACUGUAAAUCUGCUGACUAUGUCUUCGCAGGUUCGAAUCCUGCUCCCCCCA